UCUGCCCCUAAAGUGUCACAGGUGUGGAUGCUGUGUCACAUGUGUGUCGAUCGGUGCCAGUGAGGAGAGAGGCUAUGUAGUUCUACACUCAGUGUUCUAACAUAUGAACAUCUGAAUGGUCUAACACU
ensembl:snoRNA Gm23669 small nucleolar RNA SNORA17